rnacentral:lncRNA from 1 species
AAUACUAAAUUAAUAAUGUAAACUAUUAAUCGUGUAAAGUGAUACAUACUUUAUGCUACCGAACAUUAUAUAAUCAGAUGCAAACGAUUAACUAACAUCCGAUUUUGAUUAAUUAUGUGACAAAUAUAACAUGAUAACUUUCUGUGAACGAAAUGUUUUGUGAUUUGUUUUAAAUAAUUAACAUUUUAAGUGAAGGGAGAGAGAGGUGCAAUUUGCAUGGAUACAUGUAACAUAGUGUUACAUGCAUUGGAAAUUCCGCGAGCUACCUAAAUUUAACAUCCCUUUAUGAUUUGGAUAAUAUUGGUGGCAAAUGAUAAUGACAAACGACUAGCAAAGCUAGAUUUAGCCUUAAAAACAACAACAAAAACGAUAUUUUCGGCAGCUAAUUAUUGUGGUUGUGGCUCUUGUUUAUUUUUCUUUUAUGAUUAAAAUUCUCCACUGUCCACACAGACUUAUCACGUAUAUAGCUGAAUUAUAUAUAUAAGAUGCCCAUUAUAACAUGCUUCCAUUAAAUAUAGGUUAUACUAUUGUCACACUUAAUUUUUAAUUACGAGUCGCAUUAGCUAUGUUAACUUAUACUAAUUUAAUUAGUAGCCGACGAUGGGCAGACCCAAUGUUUAAAGUAUCAAUACAUGUGGAAAUAUCAAUAUGUAAAUUUAUGAAAAUAGUGAUAGAUAGACAUAAUCGAUGAAUAGACCUUCGACAUAAAUUUUGAAAAUUUGCAAUUGGGUGGGAUAUCAACUCAUUCAAAUUUAGUUGAAAUUAGAGAAAAAAUUCUCAAUUUUUUUUUUCAAAAGUUCGAAAUCUACAAUGAAUUCUGCCAAAAUUUAUGUAGGUGAAUUAGGAAAUAUCAUUGAUAAUCAUUGAUUUUCCUAUAUCUCGUCGAUAUAGGGUGAAGUUUGCAUUUCACACCCCCCCCUCCCCUCCAUAUCGAUCUUUGAUUUUUCGGAUAUUUCGAUAAAAAUAUCAACAAUUUCGUAGAUAUUUUAAACAUUGGGCAAACCUGAGUUUAAUAAAGUUACUGGUGAUCUCCCAUUCUGCACCUAAGUUCAAAUAUCUCUCUCUAUUAUUAUAAUAAAUUCAAGGAAAAAUUAGUAUGCGGUCCCUAGUUUUUAGGGUUUAUUGACUAAGACCUUAUUAGUUCUCAAAUUUUGAUUCAAGUCCCUAGCACUAAUGUGAUAAUGAAUUUACAUGUUUAUUAUAUAAUUUUUUAAUAUAAAAAUUAGUACUUAAUUUAGGGUUUAAUACUCACACCUCUAUUAAACUUCUAAUUAAUUUUCAAUUCAAACAUUUCCAAAAUAAUAAAAAAUUAAAUUAAAUUAAGUUUGUACCUAUUAGUUUUUUUUUUAUAUAUAAAAAAUUCUCAAUUUUUUAAUCUUAAAUGUACCCAUUCAUAUAAUUUUUCAAAUUUUUUAAUCUUAAAUGUACCCAUUCUCAAAUAUAUCAAUUUGUUAUAUGUAAAAAUGUACCCUUUUUUUAAUAUAAAAUCCAUUCAAAAAUUUUAAUCCAUGUUUAAACUUAUAUGGGUACAUUCUUUUUCGUUGAUUUGAGAAUGUAUCCAUGUUUUGGUACAAUAACUUUUUUAGUUAAUUUUGGUUAAUGUACCCAUACAUAUAUGUACACACACACACACAAAAUAUAAUAGAGAGUAUAAUUUAUAUUUUAUUAGUUUUAAUCCCAUAAAUUAUGGGUUUUAUUUAAAAUCUCAUUAAUAUAAACAAUUAUAAAUUUCAAUUUUUAAUUUUUGAUUAAAAAAUAUAGUAACUUACAUUAUUACAUUAAUGUCAGGGACCUCAAUCCAAAACUAAAAACUAACAAGGUUUCAUCAAAGAAUAUUGAUAGCUAGGGACCGCAUCCAAAGGGUCCCUAAAUUCAAUCUACAAUGUCGCUGGUAUAGAAAAACAGAAAAGAGACACAGAUGGGUGCAAAGUAUUGAUGAGUUCAACUUGGCAAGGUGCCAUCACUAAUUUGGUGAAUUUACUCUCACCACCCCCUUUGGAGACCCAUCUGAGCUUCUAAAAUUGUUACCUUGGAUUAUGGUAUAACCAGACACCCAUUAUUACAUGUGAUAAAUAUUGGACCAUUUUCUUAUAAGGUAAUGUUAUCUACACACCAAUUUUUACUUCACACUUUCUCUCAAUUUUCAAUUGUCCAAUCAAAUGAAUUGAAAAAGAUCAAUUGCCAAAAAUUAACAAAGGUGUGUGGGAGGUAAAAAUAGGUGUGUGAAUAACAAUUUUCUUAUUCUAAUGGCAAAACAGAAAAUAAAUUAAUAAAGUUCAUUUAUCAAUCAAUAGUUCCCUAAUUGAAAACCUACUCACUUUCUUUUAUUAGAAAAAAGUGAAGGGAAAUUAUUAUGCGGUCAUAUAAUUUUUAUUUUAUUUUAUUGGACAG